CCUACGGGAGGCAGCAGUAAGGAAUAUUGGUCAAUGGACGAAAGUCUGAACCAGCCAUGCCGCGUGAAGGAUGAAGGCCCUCUGGGUUGUAAACUUCUUUUAUAGGGGACGAAAAAAGGGCAUUCUUGCUCACUUGACGGUACCCUAGGAAUAAGCACCGGCUAACUCCGUGCCAGCAGCCGCGGUAAUACGGAGGGUGCAAGCGUUAUCCGGAUUUACUGGGUUUAAAGGGUGCGUAGGUGGGUUGGUAAGUCAGCGGUGAAAUCUUCGAGCUUAACUCGGAAACUGCCAUUGAUACUAUCAAUCUUGAAUCAUCUAGAGGUAAGCGGAAUAUGUCAUGUAGCGGUGAAAUGCUUAGAUAUGACAUAGAACACCAAUUGCGAAGGCAGCUUACUAUGGAUGUAUUGACACUGAGGCACGAAAGCGUGGGGAUCAAACAGGAUUAGAUACCCUGGUAGUCCACGCCCUAAACUAUGGAUACUCGACAUUUGCGAUAUACUGUAAGUGUCUGNGNGAAGANAUAGUAUCCACCGNGGAGUAAGUAGUCGCGAGAGUUAGUUAAACGUACAAUUAGAGUUAGACGGCGUUGAGGACGUUGCCGACGGACGACCGACGAGGGGAGGUUAGG
rnacentral:rRNA from 1 species